UGCUCUCGGGUGACGAGUGGCGGACGGGUGAGUAAUGUCUGGGAAACUGCCUGAUGGAGGGGGAUAACUACUGGAAACGGUAGCUAAUACCGCAUAACGUCGCAAGACCAAAGAGGGGGACCUUCGGGCCUCUUGCCAUCAGAUGUGCCCAGAUGGGAUUAGCUAGUAGGUGGGGUAACGGCUCACCUAGGCGACGAUCCCUAGCUGGUCUGAGAGGAUGACCAGCCACACUGGAACUGAGACACGGUCCAGACUCCUACGGGAGGCAGCAGUGGGGAAUAUUGCACAAUGGGCGCAAGCCUGAUGCAGCCAUGCCGCGUGUAUGAAGAAGGCCUUCGGGUUGUAAAGUACUUUCAGCGGGGAGGAAGGUGUUGUGGUUAAUAACCGCAGCAAUUGACGUUACCCGCAGAAGAAGCACCGGCUAACUCCGUGCCAGCAGCCGCGGUAAUACGGAGGGUGCAAGCGUUAAUCGGAAUUACUGGGCGUAAAGCGCACGCAGGCGGUCUGUCAAGUCGGAUGUGAAAUCCCCGGGCUCA
rnacentral:rRNA from 1 species